rnacentral:lncRNA from 1 species
GAUUUCGAGAAAAAGGGGUUUAAUGGUUUUUGCAUAUAGUUGUCUAUAUGUGGUUUUUGGUGGAACCUAGGAGGGAUGGUUUUGUCGCAAAUCGGGAAUCUUUUCGGGUGAAACGAGAUGCUAGAUUCGAUGCCUCUGUCGUGCUGAUCGCGCUGGUGCGAUCCGAUCGAAAAUCCGACGGACGGAUCUUCGGGAAUUGCAGAAAGUCCGCGAAGGGGCUGAUUUGAGUAAUCGGAUUAUUCGCGAAAAGGCCCUAUAUUUUAUGCGUCGAAUUGUGAGUUUUCGAACUUAGAGGGACUAUCGUGCGUUAUGCAACUGCUGGUUGAGAGCUGGGAUUAAUUAGAUUCCUUUCGAGGGGGUUUUCCGCGAGUUUUUCGCACCUAUAUAUAGGUUGUCCUAGGGUUUCUUGAGCUAACCCUAACCCUAGAACCCCCCCAGCUAACACCAGCCGCCCCUGCCAUCCCAGCACCUCCCUGCCCUGCCCGUGCUCGCGCCUCGCCGCCGGCAAGCUCCAGCCCGAGAGAAAGUGUGCGGGCCCGAUCUCCGCCGCCGCGCCACCGGCUGCUGCCCGCCGUCGUCCAGCACCUCCACCGGACCUCCCCAACCUGCUGCUUCCAUCACCGGCCGGAGCGCCCGCUGCCCGAUCGCCGGCGGCCAUCCCUAGCUCCCACAGCUC